UAUACUUCUAGAAUACAACUGUAAGUAAUACAAGAGAGAAUAUUUUUGUGAAUAUGAUUCUUUAUAUAAUCAAUUGCAAAUGUGAAUAAUUUCUUUUAUGUGGUGAGGAUGUGUUGUCAACAUGUAGACAUGUCAUUUGACUUAUAUAUUUUUCUAUUGUAAUUCAUAUUAUUUGUAUCCACAUAAACAUGCAUGUGAAAUAUCACGAGUUUCUUAUAUUUGGAGCAAACUUAAACAUUAGUUUUAACUGCAUAUACUGUUACUUAGAUUUCACUAAAAUUAGACCUCGUGAUGCAAAAAAAAAUAUAAAUUAUAUUACCUAAUUCUAUGAAUCAACCAUUUAUCGAUUUUUUUUUUCCAUAAAGUUGUACAGGAAAAACUUGCUCAAGUUACUUUUGAGAUACAUUGCUAUCGAAUUUGGGGGAAUGGAUCAGUUAUUGUCUUGUAAUCCUUGUUAAUAUAUUUCUCCUUGUGGUGAAGUUUUUUCUUUUUACGAUCUCUACCACUUUAAAGUAAUUUUAUCACUUCAUUGACAGCCAAUUACUGUCAUGACUCAAUUUGACUUUAUAGAGAUCAUCGAAUUUGACCCUGUUCAUGGAACUGACUUACAAGUUCCUACUGGUAAAAUUUUCUUCAUAGUCAUGGCUCACCUAUAUAUUUUUUGACAUAGUUUCCAUGUGAUGGGAUGAUAUAAUUCUAUGCCGAGAAAGGAGAUGGUGUUGUACAUUAUAUAUUGGUCGAACUCUUUUUUUUUUUUUUUUUUUUUUCCUUUUUUGUUUCCUAUAUAAAAAACUUAUUGUUGGACUAUAUCAAAUUGUACUAGUGAUAAAGCUUCCUACAAAAUCUCGAAAGGUGAUAUCCACAAUCAAGGCACUUUCCUAUGUUCAAGGACUGUGUCUAACAUUCUUACAUGUACGUUGCAACAAACAAGUAUAUAGUACUGAAGAUAUCGACAAACUCACUAAAGAAAACUUUGAAACUACUUCUACCAAUUCUACUUGUCUUCUUGGAUGUGACGAGAGCAACUAAGUAUUUUACAUUGUACCAUAUGAUUUUCUGUUUAGUUUAAACAUAUUGCUGUUCUGAUAGCAUCUGGAUAUGUAAUUUACUAUCCUUUUUAUUUUUUGUUUUAUAAAAAUUCGACGCUAGGAAAUAGAUUGUUUCAACAAUGUAAUUUUUUUUUUCAUUUUUUUUUUCAGUCA
rnacentral:lncRNA from 1 species